AAUAUUUCAACAGAGUUCAUUCCAUUGAAAAUUUCAACUUUAGUGAGUCUGAAUUUCUAAUAUCCAAAAAAGAAGUAAAAUCAUUCUAAAACUGGACAGUUCGAAUAUAGUGUUUCUAAAUAUAUAUAUCUAAAAUCCAAUCAUGGAACCGCAAUGCUGCAAAUGUUUGGAUCUACCUAUUGCCGAUCAAAUUGGAAAUCGAACAUUGGACUUAUCCCAUUCUCUGGGUGAAUUUAUAUCCUUCCUGGUGGUACUCCCUUUGGCUUUCUAUGCUGUCGUCUGGCACAAUAGUCACCUGAAGGCCUUCUUCAUUGUCCUGGCCUGUUUGCUGCUAUGCGAAUUCAUUAUAUUCUUUGAGCCCAUGGAAAUGAAGGAUAGAUUUGCCGAAACUGCAAAGCUGGCAUUUGCUGGACUGAUCAAAGUUAUUGGUCACCUUGAGCGGUUCAAGGACAAAAUCAUUGAAAUGCAUAACAAUCAUUUGAAUACUAUUUAAGGGGUACCAAUUUCCAAUCAAGUAACACUAGUCUUAUAUUAAGUCUUGCUAUAAAUCCCUUCUAAAGGAUACCAAAUUUACACUCUCCUAAUGAUAUAUAACUCAAAGGAUACUACUCAAAUUUCUAAGCAAGCUUUAAUAUAAAAUAAUUAUUAAAUCCCAUUUAAAGGGUACCAAAUUGUCUUUCUAAGAAAAAUUAACAUCACCCAAAGGAAACUCCAGCUUUUUAAAACCCAUUUCGAAGCAAGUUCAUAUACAAAAUUAUUAUAAAUCCCAUUCAAAGUGUUUAAAAUUUCAACUCUUCAUACGAUAUAUAUACCCCAAAGGAUACUCCCCAAAUCUUAAAUCAAGCUUAUGGGCAAAGCAAACCAGAUUUCACAGAUUCAUCCUGCCGCAAACUCACCUGGAAA